rnacentral:rRNA from 1 species
AUUGAACGCUGGCGGCAGGCCUAACACAUGCAAGUCGAGCGGAUGAAGGGAGCUUGCUCCUGGAUUCAGCGGCGGACGGGUGAGUAAUGCCUAGGAAUCUGCCUGGUAGUGGGGGAUAACGUCCGGAAACGGGCGCUAAUACCGCAUACGUCCUGAGGGAGAAAGUGGGGGAUCUUCGGACCUCACGCUAUCAGAUGAGCCUAGGUCGGAUUAGCUAGUUGGUGGGGUAAAGGCCUACCAAGGCGACGAUCCGUAACUGGUCUGAGAGGAUGACCAGUCACACUGGAACUGAGACACGGUCCAGACUCCUACGGGAGGCAGCAGUGGGGAAUAUUGGACAACGGGCGAAAGCCUGAUCCAGCCAUGCCGCGUGUGUGAAGAAGGUCUUCGGAUUGUAAAGCACUUUAAGUUGGGAGGAAGGGCAGUAAGUUAAUACCUUGCUGUUUUGACGUUACCAACAGAAUAAGCACCGGCUAACUUCGUG